GCUGGGUGCAGUGGUGCACACCUGUAAUCCCAGUGACCUGGGAAGCUGAAGCAGGAGGAUCACAAGUUUGAGGCCAGCCUGGGCAAAUUAGCAAGAUCCUUAGCAAUUU
rnacentral:sRNA from 1 species